rnacentral:lncRNA from 1 species
CGGGGCGAGAAAGCGAAGCGGGACUUUCCUUGCUGUCUAUUUUUUUCUUCGUCAGGCCAACGCCACCUGCUCGCAGGGGCGCAGGCGAGUUCCCGCCAAAUGGCGCGGGGGCGUGAGUUGCCGCCAAAUGCUAGCUCUGGAUGCCAGCUCGUUCCGCGUCUCUUGGUAGACUAGUUGGUGCAUUUCUGUUAUCAUGGACUGCGCAUAUAAACGCAAACUACACAAAAAUGACAUGGACAAGAACAGCGCAAGCCCUUUACAUGCAGUGGAGCCGCCGUAUCUCGCCGUUCAAGAUAUGCGUACUCGUAAGUGGCAUUUUAAUUUCACGUUGUGUAAUGCAUGACUGUCUUCUUCAAGUGAACAAAACUCGCUUUGUAUUGCGUAAAUGGUUUUGCAACGUAUGAUAAACUCCUUGUUUUUUGUGCUUAUUUUUUCUGACAGAAAGAAAAAAAAAAGCUUUAUAUGAGAACGGAUCAAGCGUACGAGAGUUGGGACAGGGAAAUCUGAGACGUACUUUCAUGCAUAUAUUUCUAAUAUUAUUUUUUCGUCUUGUAUUUUUCUUAAUUUUUCUCUAGGAAACACUGGAACGACACUGCUUAAUUUGAAGCACAGUGUGCGAAUGACCUGCUACGCUCGGAACUGUUAUCACCAUUCGGGAAGAAAUCAGGUAAGACGCUUGUCUGGUUGUCAUUGCGGAAAAGUCAUAAUUAAUUAGAAGUUGCUUUCGUUCCUUCCCACAGAUGAAAAAACAAAACUGUAAAUGCCUGUACGAUAUACGUCUGGUGCAUUGCAGGUAAGAAUGGAUUGUGUGUGGCACAUCUCUGCAUGUGGACUAGAGUAGAUCUAGGAACAUCAGACAAGAAGCCACGUAUGUGAAACCCUGCGGAUAGCCCAUAUGUAAGUUGUUCCUCAAUUCUUCUGUUGUUGCAUUUUCGUAGUUUACGUGUAAUACUUUGUCACUGCGGUCUCGACGUUAUGUAUACCUAUACAUUUGUCUCGUGGCAGUCUGCGUGCUAUUUUGUUUGUGCAACUAUGUGUUGUAUUCAUUUAUCGCGCUGCCUGGAUGUUUUUUUUUUUUUUCAUUGAUAUGCUGAGCCAAGUCAGUAAAUCUAUCCUUCCCGUCCUCAUGUUUCCUUGGGCGGCUCUAAAGCGUAUCUUAGAGGAAUAGUUAGCUUCAGACUCCCGCAUGGAACAGAUGGUGAGUGACAUGCUGUUUUCUUUUUAGAGAAACUAUGUAUUCAUGUUUAAUAUUUGGUUGAUUUUCAUUUUGUCAUUCAUACACUACCGCAGCCAUAUGCCGUUCUGUCAUAGAACAUUGUUUCUAGAUAUAUUUGUUUUAUGUGGUUAAAACAUUUAAAACGAGAGCGAUCACAUUUCUUAUCCUGACCAUUAUUUUUUACAGACCACGAUAACCACGUAUUUGGAUGCCUGGUUUAACUCUACAUGCGCUGGUUCGUGCAGGUGAACUUUUUUUACAGAUACGGAGGAACGGACACCGCUCAUGCCGUGCGCACUCUUCUGCAGGGCAUACUUACAAAUGAAGCUGCACUGCAGUUCAGCUGGAAAGGGUCGCAGGGGAGGAAGCACGUCUUCGUGAAGCUCACGGCCAUCACGAAUCUCAUUCUAACAUCUGUGAGGAGCACCUUCCCAGACGCUUCGCUGGCAUCAGUGGCGUGAGUCACGAAACGCUGGUUAGUCGGAGCAGCUGACAGGGAUGGAGGCCGGAACGAGAGAAGGCGCCCUGACCCCGCUUCAAGCCCACCAUGAACUAGCAUUUGAAACUUUUGUGAACGUGUGGGUGUAUAUAUCCAAGACAAAUACAAGAAAUAAAGACCUGUAUAAGAAUA